AGUUGAGGGUGGUCAGGCUGCAACACCUGUCACCCCACGGACUGCUCGUGUGCACUCAGCGGAGCUGGCUGGCCAGGCAAGGGUUCCUGUCCUCCCUCAUCAGGCCAUGUGGGUCCCUCCCAAAGCUUGGCCCUCUGUCGAAGAGGACGACAACCUUUCUUGACACAGGAAGAUCUUCUUUGGUCAAGGGCAUACGAGUAGUUGAGCUCUCCUGCUAGAACCUUGAAGCAGGUUUACUCUCAAAGUCCAUCUGUAGGAGAAGGCAGGGGUGUCUAGCUUCUGAGACCCAGACACAUCCAAAUAAAGUGCUGCGUGUGGCAGCCUGCCUUUCUUU
rnacentral:snRNA from 1 species